rnacentral:tRNA from 1 species
UGAGGGCGUCCCAGCGGCGACGGAUCGGUUUUUGGUACCGACAUUCGGAGGUUCGAUCCCUCCCGCCCCAGCCA